ACGGAGGGGGCGAGCGUUAUUCGGAAUUACUGGGCGUAAAGGGUGCGUAGGCGGUUAGUUAAGUCUGUUGUGAAACCCCCGGGCUCAACCUGGGAAUGGCAAUGGAUACUGGCUGGCUAGAGUGUGUCAGAGGAUGGUGGAAUUCCCGGUGUAGCGGUGAAAUGCGUAGAGAUCGGGAGGAACAUCAGUGGCGAAGGCGGCGAUCUGGGAAGAUACUGACGCUGAGGUGCGAAAGCGUGGGGAGCAAACAGGA
rnacentral:rRNA from 1 species